GUGGGUAUAGCUCAGCAGCAGAGCACAUGCUUGGCAUGCACAAGGUCCUGGGUUCAAGCCCCAGUCCCUCCA
rnacentral:tRNA from 1 species